AUUGAACGCUGGCGGCAGGCCUAACACAUGCAAGUCGAACGAUCGUCGGGCGGGGGAGUAAUAUCUGUGAAACUGCCUGAUUUAGGGGGAUAACUACUGGAAACGGUGACUAAUACCGCAUCCCAUCAGUUUUGCCCAUAUGGGAUGAGCUAGUAGGUGGGGUAACGGCUCACCUAGGCGACGAUACCUACCUGGUCUGAGAGGAUGACGAGCCAAACGGGAACUGAGACACGGUCCAGACUCUUACGGGAGGAAGCAGUGGGGAAUAUUGCACAAUGGGCGAAAGCCGGAGGCAGCCAUGCCGCGUGGGUGAAGAAGGCCUUCGGGUGGUAAAGCACUUUCAGCGGGGAGGCGUUACCCGAAGAAGAAGCACCGGCUAACUCCGUGCCAGCAGCCGCGGUAAUAC
rnacentral:rRNA from 1 species